GAUGAACGCUGGCGGCGUGCCUAAUACAUGCAAGUCGAGCGAACAGACGAGGAGCUUGCUCCUCUGACGUUAGCGGCGGACGGGUGAGUAACACGUGGAUAACCUACCUAUAAGACUGAGAUAACUUCGGGAAACCGGAGCUAAUACCGGAUAACAUGUUGAACCGCAUGGUUCAACAGUGAAAGACGGUUUUGCUGUCACUUAUAGAUGGAUCCGCGCCGCAUUAGCUAGUUGGUAAGGUAACGGCUUACCAAGGCAACGAUGCGUAGCCGACCUGAGAGGGUGAUCGGCCACACUGGAACUGAGACACGGUCCAGACUCCUACGGGAGGCAGCAGUAGGGAAUCUUCCGCAAUGGGCGAAAGCCUGACGGAGCAACGCCGCGUGAGUGAAGAAGGUCUUCGGAUCGUAAAACUCUGUUAUUAGGGAAGAACAAAUGUGUAAGUAACUAUGCACGUCUUGACGGUACCUAAUCAGAAAGCCACGGCUAACUACGUG
rnacentral:rRNA from 1 species